AUGCAUCUGCAAAUAUGGUUUCAGGAUGGUAAGGAAGCAGAGGAGCUUCAUGUUCAGGAGCAGGUGGAUGAAAUUGUUGCUGAUGAAUUGGACAGCAAACCUACAGAUAAUUUUGAUCCAAACGCAAGCAAGGAACGUGUCGAGAUCGUGAAUGAUACGGACAGUGAAGAUGUGAAGAAUCCUGACCAAAAUUCAGUGAACAGCUACGUUGAGAAUGAGAUCGCACCAAAUGCCACCGAAGGUGUGAAGAACUCUGAUGAAAGCGCUCCUACCAUCAACAGCCUCGAUGUCGCCCAUGAAGAACAUAUCGGGCAAGGACAUGACGAUGAUCAAGAGACCGCAUCAACACAGAUGACAGCACAUCAAUCACAAAUCUCAGAGCAACUGAAAGUGGAUACCAUGACCGAAACAGCAACAGUGGAGAAUGUGUCGAAGCAUGAGGAGCAGAAACCGCCGGCACAAGAGCCGGUCGCGCCCAUCGACUCACCCGCAUGUCCUUCACUGCCAGCUCUGUUCAAGCCAGCAGAGAAGAAGAGACCAGCGAACACGGGGUGGAAUGAGACGAGGAUGAAGCUUGGACAAGAUGGUGGCAGCAAGAAAGCGGCAGCAAAGGGUGUAGCCGUGGUGACCAUGGAUCGUAGAGCUGCUUCAAUGACCAUUCUUGCCAUCAUCUUCGCAGUGACCAUUGGAGCAAACAUCAUUAUGCGCUUAUAUUCCACUUUGCGAGCAGCAUGA
rnacentral:rRNA from 1 species